rnacentral:lncRNA from 1 species
CCUAGGGCGGGUGCUGCUGGAGACCCGCGCGCGGUCGUCAUUUCCUAACCCGCCUGCGGGCCCUGGCGCGUGCGCGGCGUCGGAGCAAGCGGCCCCUUCCUUCGGCCCCGCCCAGCCCCGCCGGCCGCCCGCUCCCUGGGGAACCGAGGGAGGAAUGGGCGGGGUCCUCAGGUGCCCGGCGACGUCAUCCAGCCCCCAAGGCUCCAGGACGCAAAGGGUCCCCUGAUCUGGCAGUCCCUGGACCUACCCUGGAGAGCGUGGGGGGACAAAGGCCGGACGCGCCGCCCGCUGCCGCCUCCAGGAAGCCCUCCCUUGCCAGGACAGUGGAGUUGGCCGGCUGAACAGGAAAAGGAACAGUAAGUACAAAGCAAGGCAACAUCAGAAAAGGGAGCCCUGAGGAAUUUCUCCCUCCUUCCCUGAGCCGGGUGAGGCCGUGACUGCAGCCUGACUCACAGGUCCUUCCAAAGUGCCUACGGAAAGCUUUGUCCCAUCCUUGAAAAAUUGCUAAUGGGUUUGGAGAUACGAGGUGGAGAUGACUAGCAAUCAAACUCAAAGGUGGAAGUCACAUCGAGGCAGAUGAGCAGAUGAGGGGACCUAGAGAAGAAGAGAGGUGCAAGGAGAGCCCAGCCAGCAGGAACAUCUGCCCCAGUAGGCAGCACUGCCCCACAUCAGAGUCGAGGAAAGCAAAGCUCGGAUUGGAUAAAAGAAACUUGCAAACACGGUCAGUGCUUACUGCAUGUGGGCUCAGAGCACGUUACCCUCCUUCCCUGCAUGUUCCUGUGAAACGGGUUUACUGCUCUAACUCUCAGGGACACUGUGAAGACCAAACGAGAAAAUAGAAACAAACAUAAUUUAUAAACCAUAAAGUACUGACACCAAAAGAGGGGCGAGCACAGCAUUGUGAAUGUGCUGGUACUAAAUGGUUUGUUUUAAGAUGAUUUUAUGGUGUGUGAAUUUCACUUGAAUAAAUUUUUUUAAUGGAGUUCA